rnacentral:rRNA from 1 species
UACGGAGGGGGCUAGCGUUGUUCGGAAUUACUGGGCGUAAAGCGUACGUAGGCGGCUUUGUAAGUUAGAGGUGAAAGCCCGGGGCUCAACCCCGGAAUUGCCUUUAAGACUGCAUCGCUAGAAUCAUGGAGAGGUGAGUGGAAUUCCGAGUGUAGAGGUGAAAUUCGUAGAUAUUCGGAAGAACACCAGUGGCGAAGGCGACUCACUGGACAUGUAUUGACGCUGAGGUACGAAAGCGUGGGGAGCAAACAGG